rnacentral:rRNA from 1 species
GCUUAACACAUGCAAGUCGACUGGAAUUCUUCUUCGGAAGAUAGUACGGUGGCGGACGGGUGAGUAACGCGUAAAGAAUUUGCCCUUCAGACUGGGACAACUAAUCGAAAGGUUAGCUAAUACCGGAUAUUAUGAGACCUUGGCAUCAAGGACUUAUGAAAGCUAUAUGCGCUGGAGGAGAACUUUGCGUUCCAUUAGCUAGUUGGUAGGGUAAUGGCCUACCAAGGCGACGAUGGAUAGCCGGCCUGAGAGGGUGAACGGCCACAAGGGGACUGAGACACGGCCCUUACUCCUACGGGAGGCAGCAGUGGGGAAUAUUGGACAAUGGACCAAAAGUCUGAUCCAGCAAUUCUGUGUGCACGAUGAAGGUCUUCGGAUUGUAAAGUGCUUUCAGGUGGGAAGAAGAAAGUGACGGUACCACCAGAAGAAGCGACGGCUAAAUACGUGCCAGCAGCCGCGGUAAUACGUAUGUCGCAAGCGUUAUCCGGAAUUAUUGGGCGUAAAGCGAGUCUAGGCGGCUUGUUAAGUCAG